UGAUCAUAGCUGAUCUGAGAGGAUGAUCAGCCACAUUGGGACUGAGACACGGCCCAAACUCCUACGGGAGGCAGCAGUAGGGAAUAUUGCACAAUGGAGGAAACUCUGAUGCAGCGAUGCCGCGUGAGUGAAGAAGGCCCUUGGGUUGUAAAGCUCUUUCGUCGGGGAAGAAAAUGACUGUACCCGAAUAAGAAGGUCCGGCUAACUUCGUGCCAGCAGCCGCGGUAAUACGAAGGGACCUAGCGUAGUUCGGAAUUACUGGGCUUAAAGAGUUCGUAGGUGGUUAAAAAAGUUGGUUGUGAAAUCCCGAAGCUUAACUUCGGAACUGCAAUCAAAACUUUUUAGCUAGAGUGUGAUAGAGGAAAGCAGAAUUUCUAGUGUAGAGGUGAAAUUCGUAGAUAUUAGAAAGAAUACCAAUUGCGAAGGCAGCUUUCUGGAUCAUUACUGACGCUGAGGAACGAAAGCAUGGGUAGCGAAGAGGAUUAGAUACCCUCGUAGUCCAUGCCGUAAACGAUGUGUGUUAGACGUUGGAAAUUUAUUUUCAGUGUCGCAGCGAAAGCAAUAAACACACCGCCUGGGGAGUACGACCGCAAGGUUAAAACUCAAAUGAAUUGACGGGGACCCGCACAAGUAGUGGAGCAUGUGGUUUAAUUCGAAGAUACGCGCAGAACCUUACCAACACUUGACAUGUUCGUCGCGACUCUAAGAGAUUAGAGUUUUCGGUUCGGCCGGACGAAACACAGGUGCUGCAUGGCUGUCGUCAGCUCGUGUCGUGAGAUGUUGGGUUAAGUCCCGCAACGAGCGCAACCCUCACUUUUAGUUGCCAUCAUUUAGUUGGGCACUCUGAAAGAACUGCCAGUGAUAAGCUGGAGGAAGGUGG
rnacentral:rRNA from 1 species